GAUGUUCGCGGCCUGUCCAUGCGUCAGGCUCGCUAAAGGGCCAACAGCUGCAUCCCUCAGCGACGAUUAAAGUCUUUUUGGGCGCAUGGGAAAGAGAAACGCCGCUGUCGCCGUUUGAAGCCCUGGGAUGGGACGGUGCGGCUGCUCCCUGCUAUGUGGUUCAGGGCAUUUUGGAGCCCAACUAUGCCAGGGGACCCCAGACAUGAGAAAUGCACGAUUCUCCGGAUGUGACACAGAUGGGGCACUCGGCCUGAAGUGAUGAGCAGAAGAGACGGUGCCUAAGUGGGAAAGGAAGAGAAGAGGGUGACUGACGGUUCAUCCUGAGCCGUUACUGGUCCCAUUUCAGCCUGUAAUCAUCGGACUUCCCUUUCAGACUCUGUUUGCUUUGAUUCAUGUUGAGUAUCACUGUUUGCCUGUGGGUCAGGGUGAGACCAA